AGUGGAAGCCGGCCAUGCGUGGUUGGUCAGAUCGGACGGUUGUCGUGUGUUGGUAUGCUACGGACGGCUCCGAUGUACUGCUCACUCUGUCCCGCCCCCUCUACUCCCCCCGCCCGAUCUCGCCGAGGCCGAUCUCACCAGUUGCGGAAUCACCGGCGGCCCUUGUCGAUCGAGGCGGCGCAGCCGGUGCUCGCAACUGGUGAGCUUUGCAGGCAGCGGUAGUAGCGUGGCAUACCUGGCGUCGGGCCAUGGUGCCGGCCGUCUCUGCCGCCCUACCCGCCGCAUUGAUCGAUCAACUCAGUAGUCCCGGUGGCGAGCUUCGCUGGCUUCGUAUUGACUUGUGCAGCUGUUACCUAAACUUGGCAGCAAGAUUGUCAGAGCUGCAAUUGCGACAAGCUUCAGGGGCAACCCGGUGAUCACAAGAUCCUUGAUGGUAAUGUGGCCAGUACUGAACCCAACGACAUUUGAUGGUGAUCCAGUAGGUAACAAGUAUGAAAGCUGAGCCCCAAUUGUUCCAGAAACCAUAAGCAACGCCGGGUGCACAUCUAUGGACUUCACCAAUUCAGCGAACAGAGGCAGCACAAGCGUGGUGGUUGAAUCGUCAGAUGUUAACUCUGUGAUGAUCCCACUGACAAUGCAGGCCACAGGAACAAUGACCACCGUCGGUGCGCCCUUCAGAAACCUGAGCCCAUCAGAGAGGAUGUCGGUCAGGCCGCUUGACUUGAAGCCAUCAGCAAUGGCGAAGCCUGCCCCGAGGAGGAGGAUGAUGUCCCACUGGAUCUUCCUGCACUUGUUCCAGUCCAUCAGUUUCUCACCCUCGUUCUGCCGGCUUGGGAUUAUGAACAGCAGUGUUGCCAUCAUGAUCUGUAUUGCAAGUGAAUUGCGAGAUUAGUUGGUGCAUGGCUGGAUAAGUUUGAUAUCUUUGCACACUUACAGUGACUGUUCCAUCUCCAACAUUGUUGUGGAAGAGAGCUCCCCACCCAGGUAUGUCAUCUGUAAGGCUCCUGGUCAUCCAUAGCACAAUUAGACCCUGCAAAAUUUAUCCAGUUGAUUGAGUUACCAAAUUGCAAGUUAUUAGUUUGCAUAUUGUACAACCGAAAGCUCCUCUGCAUGAUUAUCUUGAGAACGGAAUUUCAAUAACAGGAAUUGGGUAGAGCUCUCUUUUUUUGGAGGGGCAGGGGGGGGGGGGGGUAGGCAGAACACAUUUGCGCAGAAAUAGGAUUUACCCCAAACACAGCCAAGACCAUCUUCUCUGCAAACGCCAUUGGACCUGUCAUAGAUCAUGAUAGUAAUUUCAUGAGACAAUUAGUCCCUUGCAUUGCACUGGAUAAAUGAUUGCUUCUAGAACUUUGUAAAUUAAACUUGGCCCAAUCAGAGAGUCUAAAAUGCUAUGACCUUACAGCAAAUUGACCAAUUUUUUGUCGCAUUGUCUGAUUGGUGAAAGACAAAACGGUGUAAUGACGUGAUGUUCAACUGGCAAUACAAUUUUACAGUGGCAAACA